GGCAGUUCAAGAACGCUCUCAAAGCUGUAACAACACUUCUUGCCAAAUAUCCGAAUGCGCCUUACGCUCUGGCACUUAAAGCGUUGGUUUUGGAAAGAAUGGGGAAGCCUGAGGAAGCCUUAUCUGUCUGUUUAAGUGCCAAAGAGCUACUGUAUACUAAUGAUUCUAUCUUGAUGGACGAUCUUACUCUGAGCACGUUGCAAAUUGUUUUCCAG
rnacentral:misc_RNA from 1 species